CUGAACUUAAAAGUUGUCUUCUGAAUGUUGCAAUCAUACUUCAUUUUCAGGCAAAUGAUGCACAACUCAGUACAAUGGUUGCAGAGCAGGUUGAACAAGCACAAGCUGGGUUGGAGUCGCUUUCUUUAUCUGAAAAGUCAAUAAACCAGAUUCGAGAAAACUUUAUUUCUAUCGAGAAGUUAUGUCAAGAAUGCCAAACAUUAAUAGAGAACCAUGAUCAGAUAAAGCUCCUUAGCAAUGCAAGGAAUAACUUGUUAACAACCUUGAA